rnacentral:rRNA from 1 species
UACGGAGGGGGCGAGCGUUAUUCGGAAUUACUGGGCGUAAAGCGUGCGCAGGCGGCUAUGCAAGACAGAUGUGAAAUCCCCGGGCUCAACCUGGGAACUGCAUUUGUGACUGCAUGGCUAGAGUACGGUAGAGGGGGAUGGAAUUCCGCGUGUAGCAGUGAAAUGCGUAGAUAUGCGGAGGAACACCGAUGGCGAAGGCAAUCCCCUGGACCUGUACUGACGCUCAUGCACGAAAGCGUGGGGAGCAAACAGG